UUUGAGUGCCGCCCCCAUUUGGGCACAGCCCUGAAAGCCAGCCCUUUUGGAGGUGCUUCUCAUGCAAAAGGAAUCGUCCUGGAAAAAGUAGGAGUUGAAGCCAAACAGCCAAAUUCUGCCAUUAGGAAGUGUGUCAGGGUCCAGCUGAUCAAGAAUGGCAAGAAAAUCACAGCCUUUGUACCCAACGACGUUUGCCUGAACUUUAUUGAGGAAAACGAUGAAGUUCUGGUUGCUGGAUUUGGUCGCAAAGGUCAUGCUGUUGGUGAUAUUCCUGGAGUCCGCUUUAAGAUUGUCAAAGUGGCCAAUGUGUCUCUUCUGGCCCUAUACAAAGGCAAGAAGGAAAGACCAAGAUAAUAAAUUUUAAUGGUGAACACACUGUAGUAAUAAAUUUUCUU